GACGAACGCUGGCGGCGUGCUUAACACAUGCAAGUCGAACGCUGAAGCUCAGCUUGCUGGGUGGAUGAGUGGCGAACGGGUGAGUAACACGUGAGUAACCUGCCCUCUUCUUUGGGAUAACGCCCGGAAACGGGUGCUAAUACUGGAUAUUCACUGAUUCUCGCAUGGGGGUUGGUGGAAAGGUUUUUUCUGGUGGGGGAUGGGCUCGCGGCCUAUCAGCUUGUUGGUGGGGUGAUGGCCUACCAAGGCUUUGACGGGUAGCCGGCCUGAGAGGGUGACCGGUCACAUUGGGACUGAGAUACGGCCCAGACUCCUACGGGAGGCAGCAGUGGGGAAUAUUGCACAAUGGGCGAAAGCCUGAUGCAGCGACGCCGCGUGAGGGAUGGAGGCCUUCGGGUUGGAAACCUCUUUCGCUCAUGGUCAAGCCGCAGCUUUGGGUUGUGGUGAGGGUAGUGGGUAAAGAAGCGCCGGCUAACUACGUG
rnacentral:rRNA from 1 species